UAUCCAGUAUGGGCGUUUUGAUUCUUGAGGGGAGUUGUCUCUAGUACGAGAGGACCGAGACGAGGCAACCUCUAGUGUGCCUGUUGUCACUACAGUGGCAGCGCAGGGUAGCUACGUUGUUUUUUGAUAAGUGCUGAAAGCAUCUAAGCACGAAGCAGACCCCAAGAUGAGGAAUCUUUAAGAUCCCUGGUAGACUACCAGGUUGAUUACGCUAACGCGUAGUCGUCCGCUAACGCGGAGAUAGGAGAGCAGUGUAAGCACUGUAAGGUGUUUAGCUUACUCUUACUAAUGAUCAUCGUUGAGAUUUU
rfam:Candidatus Daviesbacteria bacterium RIFCSPHIGHO2_02_FTLL_41_10 rifcsphigho2_02_scaffold_38114, whole genome shotgun sequence.